UACAGAGGUCUCAAGCGUUGUUCGGAUUCAUUGGGCGUAAAGGGUGCGUAGGUGGCGCCGUAAGUCAGGUGUGAAAUUUCGGAGCUUAACUCCGAAACUGCAUUUGAUACUGCGGUGCUUGAGGACUGGAGAGGAGACUGGAAUUUACGGUGUAGCAGUGAAAUGCGUAGAGAUCGUAAGGAAGACCAGGUGGCGAAGGCGGGUCUCUGGACAGUUCCUGACAGCUGAGGCACGAAGGCCAGGGGAGCAAACGGG
rnacentral:rRNA from 1 species